CCGCCCGCUGAGGCGUCCGCGGGGCUCCCCGUCCCCGCGCGCGACGAGGCGGAGGAACGGCCCGCGCGAGGAGAUGGAUAAGUGUGUAAUCUGCCAAAGACCAUUCCAUGAAGGCAUCACUUAAAAAAGGCAGCUCGGAAGUAACAGCACAUGUCAUAAAUGUGGAAAUGACGUUGUGAUGUCACUUAGCCAACGUUUGCAUACAACCAGCCCUGUCACAUGUAUUACAAUAUAAAUGUUAUCAAACAAGAGAGAAGCCAUACUAACAAAGAUUCACAAAUGGCUGGUGGUGAAGUCUGUACCUCUCAUUCUCAAGAACUAAUGGUUACCUUCCCUGAAUGCUAUCAGCUUUGUGGUAAACCAUCCAAGUUUUCUAUAGGAAAAAAGAGAAGAUUCAACAGUUUUUCUGUUCAAACUUUGGUUUUCUGAACAGCAAUGUUUAACUUCUCUAAUAGAUAUGAAGACAGUUGAGCAGAGAAGAUCAACUCUAAGAUAACAUCUGAUGACAAGCUUCAUACAACUGACACCAUGUGCCAUCAAACGUGCUAUAAAUUUCACAGCAAUGGAGCAGAUUCCUCAAGUGACAAAACAUUUUCUGGGACCCACUUGAUUCUCUCCUUAAGUCUAUAAAAAUGGCAAAGUGUUUGGAAGACAGUUAAGAACAUAUUCAGUCCCUGAUCUGGUACAGAAGAGGAAGGAUGAAUUUUGAAGGUGCCUAUAGUUCAGUAUACCUGAAGAAGUGAGGUUUUCAUGGAAUAAAUCAAAUUCCAAGGUAUGGUCUGAAGAAGUGACCACCUGCUGAACACAGACUCUGGGUCUGAGAUUACUGCCUAGAGAUGCAUGAUGGAAGAAGCUACUAGUAUUGUAAUUCCCACAUUUCUCAGAAUACAGACUGUUUCUGGGGCAGAAAAUGGCGGUUAAAAUGGUCAAGAGACUGAAGUUCCUUCCUGAUGAGUAAAGACUUGGGAUCAAAAAGAUACUGAGUUGGACAUCUACUCCAUGAAUUCCAAGUACUUCACUAAGAAUAUAGGCAUCUAGCUGUGAGGACUGCAACCACAAUUCAAGUCCAUAUGAGGCUGCUGCAAGCCGCAAUUCGGAGUUUGGAGGCAAGGUGUCAGCAGUAUGCCGAUGACGCCUGGUUCUGUUUCUCUGCAACAUCCAACUCGGAAGAGGCCAUGCAUGUUCUGAACUAGUAUCUGGAUGGAUGACAGUCAACAAACUGAAGCUCCUUCCGGCACCAGUUUUGGCGGACUCUCACUCGCUGAUGAAGAGAAGAAGUGGCCUUCAAAGAAGUCUUCUUCCCAAAGAUUUUAUCCACAGCUCCAGGUUUCCAUAGCAACAACUGUGCAUCCUCUCCACCAGUCAACAAAGAACCAU